rnacentral:rRNA from 1 species
UGGGGAAUAUUGCACAAUGGAGGGAACUCUGAUGCAGCGACGCCGCGUGAACGAAGAAGGCUUUCGAGUCGUAAAGUUCUUUUAUAUGGGAAGAUAAUGACGGUACCAUAAGAAAAAGCCCCGGCUAACUACGUGCCAGCAGCCGCGGUAAUACGUAGGGGGCUAGCGUUGUCCGGAAUCACUGGGCCUAAAGGGUUCGCAGGCGGAAAUGCAAGUCAGGUGUAAAAGGCAGUAGCUUAACUACUGUAAGCAUUUGAAACUGCAUAUCUUGAGAAGAGUAGAGGUAAGUGGAAUUUUUAGUGUAGCGGUGAAAUGCGUAGAUAUUAAAAAGAAUACCGGUGGCGAAGGCGACUUACUGGGCUCAUUCUGACGCUGAGGAACGAAAGCGUGGGUAGCAAACAGG